GACGUAGGGCGCGAGCGUUUGUCCGGAUUUAUUGGGCGUAAAGGGCGCGUAGGUGGCGGCAUAAGGCCGUGGUGAAAGUCUGGGGCUCAACCCCAGAUCGGCCGCGGCGACUGUGUCGCUUGGGCACCGUAGAGGCAGAUGGAAUUCCGGGUGUAGCGGUGGAAUGCGUAGAGAUCCGGAAGAACACCGGUGAGCAGGACGGCCGGCCUGGCUUGGCU
rnacentral:rRNA from 1 species